rnacentral:rRNA from 1 species
AGUGAACGCUGGCGGUAGGCCUAACACAUGCAGGUCGAACGGAAGCACAGUAAGAGCUUGCUCUUACGGGUGGCGAGUGGCGGACGGGUGAGGAAUACAUCGGAAUCUACUUUUUCGUGGGGGAUAACGUAGGGAAACUUACGCUAAUACCGCAUACGACCUACGGGUGAAAGCAGGGGAUCUUCGGACCUUGCGCGAUUGAGUGAGCCGAUGUCGGAUUAGCUAGUUGGCGGGGUAAAGGCCCACCAAGGCGACGAUCCGUAGCUGGUCUGAGAGGAUGAUCAGCCACACUGGAACUGGGACACGGUCCAGACUCCUACGGGAGGCAGCAGGGGGGAAUAUUGGUCAAUGGGCGCAAGCCUGAUCCAGCCAUACCGCGUGGGUGAAGAAGGCCUUCGGGUUGUAAAGCCCUUUUGUUGGGAAAGAAAAGCAGCAGGUUAAUACCCCGCUGUUCUGACGGUACCCAAAGAAUAAGCACCGGCUAACUUCGUG